GUACACUCCUACGGGAGGCAGCAGUGGGGAAUAUUGGACAAUGGGCGCAAGCCUGAUCCAGCCAUGCCGCGUGAGUGAUGAAGGCCCUAGGGUUGUAAAGCUCUUUCACCGGUGAAGAUAAUGACGGUAACCGGAGAAGAAGCCCCGGCUAACUUCGUGCCAGCAGCCGCGGUAAUACGAAGGGGGCUAGCGUUGUUCGGAUUUACUGGGCGUAAAGCGCACGUAGGCGGACUAUUAAGUCAGGGGUGAAAUCCCGGGGCUCAACCCCGGAACUGCCUUUGAUACUGGUAGUCUUGAGUUCGAGAGAGGUGAGUGGAAUUCCGAGUGUAGAGGUGAAAUUCGUAGAUAUUCGGAGGAACACCAGUGGCGAAGGCGGCUCACUGGCUCGAUACUGACGCUGAGGUGCGAAAGCGUGGGGAGCAAACAGGAUUAGAAACCCUGGUAGUCC
rnacentral:rRNA from 1 species